UUACAUUCAUAUUUUGUUGAAGUAUUAUUCAAUAGAUAUAUUUAUAAAGGAUUUUGAAUUGUUGCUAUUUUAAAAAUAUUUAAAAAAAAUCUCACGUACCCCUUGGCAUACCUUCAAGUACCCCCAUUUGAGAACCACUGUGCUAAGGUAGUGCCUUGAAGGUUUUUUGGCGCCCCGUUCUUUUCCAUACGUUCGUGUACACAGAGGCAUUUUAAAAAAAGUCAUAAAUGUUACUCUUAUUAAAACCAAUAAUUUCUGAUACUACAUUUUAAAAAAAUGUAUCGACAUCUCUACUUGUUAUGGCGAUCUGUCCGUGAGAGGUUUGCCUGUGAGCGCCUGCUGAUGACACCGGCCUCAACCUCUCCACAGUGGAGCGCACAGGUGAGCACAAUCAGCCUAAUUGGCAAGCUCUGCUCACAACUAUUUUCCGGUGGUCUUGCAGAGCAGCUGGUGGCAGCAGCACAGCGACACCGCCUGCUGAAUCAUUGGAUUAAAAGGCAUUGGGAAAAGGAAAAGAUCAACGAAGCUACCGGUUUCGGUUGCCGGUUUGGUUUCUCAAGGGUGAAAGAAGGGUCAAGUCAAAGGAACACAAGAACAUCCGAGCAGUGGGCAUUCCAGUGAGAGCAUACAUUGUACAAUUUUGGCACGCUCUAUCCUCCGCAUUUUUCAUCCGAGUCCAACAGUUCUUGUUACGUGUACAGGAGGAAGGUGACGGCAGGUUUAUUUAUAUAUAUUCACAAUAUAUAUAUAAAUAAUAAAUGAGGUUAUGUUACACCAGCAGAGAAGGCCUUGCUGGCUCUGACUGCCCACCACUGGUGUUCUACCAAUCAACGGAAAACGCUUUGUCAAGCUUCACCCACCGAAGAACCCACAGAAACAGAAGCAAUGAUUGGCCUUUAGCCACCAUCCUACAACUGACUGUCUUCCCGCUCGUGCCUCUUGAACACAAGCGUCAAAUAACCCUCAUCGCCGGUAAAAUGUGCAGACCAAAAGAUCGGGACUUUCGCAUCUUGUGACACUGGAGCAACUUAAAUCCGUCAAUUGGACUGAAGAGUGAAGACACACUUCUUCCUCAGGGGUGGGAUGCGGCGCUCCGCCAACCUGAUGGCUUCCCCGCGCCCGGCCUCCACUACCCUUGCCUCACAUUGUUGCCCCGCUAAACGCUGACAAUUGGUGACAAAUGACCCGCAAACUGUGCACCGGUUGCCCCGAGAGACCGCGGCAUGCUGGUGAGAAGGGGGAUCAGGGAGGGAGACGGUCGCCGCAAGGCACAGGUGCCUGGGAUCAGCAUGGAUCCGGCCUCUGACUGGAGCUGACAGCAGCGGAGCAACAGAGUGUGGGAGCCCACUGAGUGCCACCCACAGCUCAAUUAAAUGAUGGAGGGUCACGGAAGAGUGGAGGAGCACUGAAGAGGUCAAUAGGAUGCGAACAAUGGUCUUACCCUGUACAUUUUAUACUUGCAUAAUGUUACGUCUCUAUUUGGUACUGCAAAUUAGGACUUUGUUAUCAUGCUAUUUCAUCUUUAGUCUUGUAAAGUUAUGAUGAUUUUUGUAAUAAAUCAUUUAUUACAAACCAGGCCUCAUAAAAGUGCAGCAUGUUUCAGGUGAUAUUGUAUUAUAAGAAAAAGUGGUAACAUUUUAGUAUGGGGAACAUAUUCACCAUUACUUAUUUGCUUAUUAAAGUAACAAAGACUUAAUUUAGAGUUAUUUGGACACUAGGGGAACAUAUAAGGGUUUGGGUUAAAGGCCUACUGAAACCCACUACCACCGACCACGCAGUCUGGUAGUUUAUAUAUCAAUGAUGAACUCUUAACAUUGCAACACAUGCCAAUACGGCCGGUUUAGUUUACUAAAUCACAAUUUUAAAUUUCCCGCGGAGUUUAUUGAUGAAAAUGUCGCUGAAUGAUGACGCAUGCGCGUGACGUCACGGGCUGUAAGGAAAUAUGACCGCUGCACCACUCGCGGCUAAAAGUCGUCUGCUUUAACCGCAUAAUUACACAGUAUUGUGGACAUCUGUGUUGCUGAAUCUUUUGCAAUUUGUUCAAUUAAUAAUGGAAAAGUCAAAGUAGAAAGAUGGAGUUGGGAAGCUUUAGCCUUUAGCCACACAAACACACGGUGAUUCCUUGUUUAAAAUUCCCGGAAGUGAAACUUUACUAUGGAUCAGAGCAGUCAAGCGAACAUGGAUACCGACCAAAUGUCAACCAGCAGGUUUCGGUGAGAAACUUGUGGUAAAAAGUCGCCUCUUACCGGAGAUCAGCUGAGCUUGCGCCGUCCAUAAAGCUGCCGUCGACUUCCCUGAGACACUGGCCUCAAGACACCCGUGGACACACCCCUCCGACUAUCAGGUACUAUUAAUCUCACUAAAACACUAGCAAUCAAUAGAAGGAUAAGGGAUUUCCCAGAAUGAUCCUACUAAAUGUGUAUAAAAACAUUUGAAUCCGUCCCAAUGCAAUUGCCUUUUUUUUUUUUUUUUCCUAGUCCGUCGCUAUCAAUAUCCUCAAACACAAAUUUUUCAUCCUCGCUCAAAUUAAUGGGGAAAUUGUCGUUUUCUCGGUCCGAAUAGCUCUUGCUGCUGGAGGCUCCUAUUAUAAACAAUGUGAGGAUGUGAGGAGCCCCCACACUUGUGACGUCAUCGUGUGCUACUUCCGGUAAAGGCAGGGCUUUUUUGUCAGCACCAAAAGUUGAGAACUUUAUCGUCGAUGUUCUCUACUAAAUCCUUUCAGCAAAAAUAUGGCAAUAUCGCGAAAUACUCAAGUAUGACACAUAGAAUGGACCUGCUAUCCCUGUUUAAAAAAGAAAAUCUCAUUUCAGUAGGCCUUUAAGGUUAUUAAUAAGCAAUUAUUCUGAGGUUAUUGAGGGAAGACUCUUACUUAAUGGCUUACUGGUUGUAUAAUAAGGCCAUGCAGAAUAAGGCAUUAAUAAUUACUUAAUGACUAAUAAAGAGCCAAUAUGUUACUAAUUUGCAUGUUAAUAAGCAACUAAUUAAGGGUGAAUAUGUUUCCCAUACUAAAGUGUUAACGAAGAAGUAUUACUUUUUGACUUUGCUCUCCUAUUUCUGCAUCAUAAUCAUUGUAAAGUAAAAUGUUACUCUUGUAAAACGAUGCGUUUUUUCCGACAUGCAUUUUGGAUUAUUUUGCAUUCUUUCAAAAUGAAAGCUUUUUGAUUGCAAUAUUCCAACGUUAUUCUCAUAAUAUUGUAUAUAUUAUCUUGGGUAAUAUUAUUUUCACGGCCUUUCUAGUUUCCUUAUUUUUUUAUAUUCUCUUACUUAUUUCCUGUUCAGCGCUCUUUUUUUAAUUUUUAUUUUUAGUUCCACCUCCUGUCAGUUUCCCUUACCGGUCCCUGAUUGGCAACUUAGGCACACAGGUACAUGGUUGCCAAUCAGGCAUCUUAAUAUGCCAGCCCGGCCUGCAGUCAGGGUUAGAAGAUGGCCAAAUGUUAGCAGUGUGUCAAAUGUUGCUAACUGUUUCAUGUUUUUAUUUACUUGCUUAUAUACUUUUAUAUACUUUUGCUUUAUAUACUUGCUAUUGUGUACUUCCCCGUGCAUGUCGCUUUCCGUCUCCUGCAUCGUAUACUAUUGUGUACUUCCCCGAUGCUCAACUUGCAUGUAAGGACAUUCUUACGUGCAUGUCGCUUCCCGUCUCCUGCACCUUGGGGUCACAACUACAGCAGCAAUUUAUUUAUGUUACAUUAUCACAUUUUUCUUGAAAUUGUACAACUACUGUACUUUAAUUGCACAACAUAUUUCUGCUAAUACUAAUACUGUACCAUUUGUUAUGACUUUUUCUUGUAAAAGUUAUGACUUUGCUUUGAAA